CGGCGGACGGGUGAGUAACACGUGGGUAACCUACCUAUAAGACUGGUACAACUUCGGGAAACCGGAGCUAAUACCGGAUAAGAUAUCGAACCGCAUGGUUCGAUAGUGAAAGAUGGUUUUGCUAUCACUUAUAGAUGGACCCGCGCCGUAUUAGCUAGUUGGUGAGGUAACGGCUCACCAAGGCAACGAUACGUAGCCGACCUGAGAGGGUGAUCGGCCACACUGGAACUGAGACACGGUCCAGACUCCUACGGGAGGCAGCAGAC
rnacentral:rRNA from 1 species